AAUAGAUACCCAGGUAGUCCACGCCGUAAACGUUGGAUACUAGGUGUGGCGGUUAUACCAAUGACUGCCGUGCCGAAGCUAACGCAUUAAGUAUCCCGCCUGGGGAGUACGGCCGCAAGGCUAAAACUCAAAGGAAUUGACGGGUCCCCGCACAAGCGGCGGAGCAUGCGGCUUAAUUCGAUGCAACCCGAAGAACCUUACCUGGGUUUGACAUCACGGGAAAAGCUGUAGAAAUACAGUGUCCAUUAGGGCCCGUGACAGGUGGUGCAUGGCUGUCGUCAGCUCGUGUCGUGAGAUGUUGGGUUAAGUCCCGCAACGAGCGCAACCCUUGUCCUAUGUUGCCAGCGGUUCGGCCGGGGACUCAUAGGAGACUGCCGGGGAUAACUCGGAGGAAGGUGAGGACGACGUCAAGUCAUCAUGCCCCUUAUAUCCAGGGCUGCACGCAUGCUACAAUGGCCGGUACAACGGGCAGCGACCCCGCGAGGGUGAGCGAAUCCUAAAAAGCCGGUCCUAGUUCGGAUUGAAGUCUGCAACUCGACUU
rnacentral:rRNA from 1 species